rfam:Alligator mississippiensis ScZkoYb_1960, whole genome shotgun sequence.
CAAGUGGCUCCUCUGGGAGCCACUCUACUUAAAGUGUCUCUAUGUCU